rnacentral:rRNA from 1 species
AACGAACGCUGGCGGCGUGGAUAAGACAUGCAAGUCGAACGGGACAACAUCUGUAGCAAUACAGGUGUUGUUUAGUGGCGAACGGGUGCGUAACACGUGGGCAAUCUGCCGAGAAGUGGGGGAUAGCUCGCCGAAAGGCGAAUUAAUACCGCAUAUGAUCAGUGAAGACAUCUUCACGACAUCAAAGCCGGGGCAACCUGGCGCUUCUUGAUGAGCCCGCGGCCUAUCAGCUAGUUGGUGAGGUAACGGCUCACCAAGGCUAUGACGGGUAGCUGGUCUGAGAGGACGACCAGUCACACUGGAACUGAGACACGGUCCAGACACCUACGGGUGCAGCAGUCGAGUAAUUUUUCUCAAGUGGGGCAACCCUGAAGGAGCGACGCCGCGUGGA